CAAUAGCGUAUAUUAAAGUUGUUGCAGUUAAAAAGCUCGUAGUUGGAUUUCGGGGUGGCCUGCCUGGUCCACCGCAAGGUGAGUACUGGUCAGCCGCCCUUCCUCUCGAAAGCCCCGACUGCUCUUCAUUGCAGUGGUCGGGUAGUUCGGGACGUUUACUUUGAAAAAAUUAGAGUGUUCAAGGCAGGCUGUCGCCUGAAUACAUUAGCAUGGAAUAAUGGAAGAGGACCUCGGUCCUAUUUUGUUGGUUUCUAGGGCCGAAGUAAUGAUUAAGAGGGACAGUUGGGGGCAUUCGUAUUUAAUUGUCAGAGGUGAAAUUCUUGGAUUUAUGAAAGACGAACUAGUGCGAAAGCAUUUGCCAAGGAUGUUUUCAUUAA
rnacentral:rRNA from 1 species